ensembl:lncRNA
CUUAAAUGUUGGGUCACAGUAAAAAAAUAAAUGCCCCCCAAAAAACCAUGACAAACAAUCAGUUAGCAAUAUCAUUUAAUCAUUUCCCCUCAGCGUAGAAUCACUGUUGUACAUAAGUUACUUUGUUUUCUCAAUUUCACAGGUUCAUUUUUUUUUUCUCUCUUCAAACUUCCUGUUUGACCUCCCUCUCGUAUCAAACGAAAAAAAAAGCAGAUUGUAUUAUACAAAAAUGCAAACCAAUUUUCACACAGUGAAUUCUCUUACAAAGUCAUAAAAUGGCGUAAUAAUGGCUACAUCCACAUUGGAGGAAGAUAUUUCUAGACAUUCCUUAAUGGAGUAUAAUAUACAUAUAAAAACGUUUUUCUUGCUGAAAUCAAACCUGUACCUUAAUUUAAGAGAUAUUUUACAAGGGAGUAAUCAUAUAAAAUAGCCAUUUGCGAAUUUCCCCAGAAAGUCAGGGAAUAAAAUGUGAGCCUCAAACAGCAGUAACAGAGUUCAGUGGUCAAGAGGGGGGGGGGGGGGGGGGGGGUGGAGGGCUUAACUUGUUCUGUAAAUGAGGAGGGGGGGGGCAGCAAUUGCAAUGAACAUCUUUGCCGUUUACUCUCCAGUAAACCAGCCCACCAGUCACGGCGGUGGCUCCUCCUCAGCUAAAGGUGGUUCAGCCUCAUUCGUUUUGGUAGACUUGUACUUCGAGAGGUGGAGGAACGUCAUAAUCAAUCGACACCAACCUGUUGUCAGUUUGCGGCAUUUCAACAGCAGAAUUAAAGCUGGUGGGACAAUUUCUCGUAGAUAUGCGUGUAAGGGGAACAAAGCUAUUGUGUGAAUGUCACUCAGAUUCUCUUAGCUGCUGACUACACAUCAGGUCAGAUGAUGCAUUAAAGACUGUAAGACUUGCAGGGUCAGUAAAUUCACUCAACUAUUGCAGGAACAGAACAAAAAAAACAAAAGAGAAAAGGACUACAAACCGAACUAGAUCAACAUUUCCUUAAAAGAAAAAGAGUAAAUUUUGCUGUCAGUCAAAUCUUGAGAUUUUCAUUAUUUGCAUGUCGCUGUUCUGCAUUCAAAUUUUCAAAAAGUGAGGGGGCCUCUACUAGAGUCCAAUUCAGUGUGUUUUACUAUUUUAGAAAUGACCUCGUGCUCCGAAAGCCGACAAGGUAAAGGGACAUUGCAAAGAGGAUUUAAGGCCAACCUCUCCUCAGAGACUUCCUGAAUAUCCUCUAAGGGACAUGCGUGGGGGGGGGGGGGACCCCCAACACUUUUCUAAUACCUCAAAACUAUUACCCAGUACAGCACACCUUGUGGGAGAAAAAACCAAAACGUCGGGUACAUUUUCUACAAUACAACUUAGCACACACAAAACUUCUCCACAAAUGUUCCAAAGUUACAGAAUUUUGUCGUCUUCUUCGGAAGCAUAGUCUAUAGAGAACAUCUUUGUUUGAACACAAAAGAUUAAGUGAACGCGCACAGAAGUCCUUCGUCUGGGAAAGGAUAAAGUCUGUGUUGGCAACCAAUGGACAGAAAACAAAUCAAACGACGAAACAAAAACAUUUUGCUGAUUCUAAAUAGAGAUCAUUUAAUAUAAAUGCUGAGCGAGUAAAAUAAGAGGUGGCACAUUAAUAGUGCUUUAGUAUAUUAAUGUAUGUAUACAUACUCAUAUGUAUAAGUGAGCUGUGUACCUAAACAAUAAAUGUAGCAAGGAGCAGCCAGAUGAUUGAAGUGGGGGAGGAAAAUAAAAAAUAACAAAACAAAAACAUCUAGCAUCAUGGCGCUGACAUAUUGGAAGAGAUUCCUAUCAAACGGCCCACGCCAGGGACACACGACAUCGGGUUUUCAACUCACUCGUGAGGGAUUUGUCACAACGUUUUUUUUUCCCCGAGGACCAAAAGCAGGGGUCAAAGUUCAACCCAAAACAACUCGACCCAGAGAGUCUUCUCUACCCGGCUGUGGGGCCGGAGCCAAUCACGCUCGUUGUUUACAGAAGGCAAAGAGCUCGACACGCGAGCAUCAGCAGUAAACAAUCUGCAUGGUGGAUACAGAGCAAUAAUAGUGGUGAUGGUGGUGAUGAUGACCCAGGUGGGAGAAGGUAGAUAUGAUAUUGUAAUACUCGCCGAUAGAAAUGCUUAAAUGUACUCAAUGCGAUGCUGGAGCACGUUUGGUUAUCAGUAUCGUUGACUGUAAACAGGUUUUUUUUUUAUGUAUUGCGUAGCCUAAAACGCUACGACCGCUACCAGGAGUGCAAACGGCGAGUUUAGGUUUUGCUUGGAGUUCAACUAUUUCACAACGGACGGCAUUAAGCCACGCCCCCCCCCCUCGAAUCGUAACAAAGCAAAGCAUGAAAAAAUUAAAAAACGAACCGAACGAAAGAACACAAGGGAAGGCAACUUCAUAGAAGUUAGGACAACAAACGACAAGAUAAUCCCAAUGGGGAGGCCUUUGGUGUGGCUCGACGAGAUGCUCUGAGGAGGGAACUGCUCAAUUUGCCCAAUUCAUAAAGACACUGAGCCGACCGACUCCCGAUGCAGAGAGGUGGUCUCUCCAGUCGCCCCCCAAAAGAAGUCAUUUGGGGCACGCUGUGAAGGGUCCCGCAGCGUAAUCAGCAAGGACUGAAUGCAGCGGAGAGCCGUCACAAACCAAACCACAUCAGGGUCACACCGCAGCCGAGAGAAGCACAUAGCAGGUUCCCUUAUAUAGAAAAAAAGUGGAAAGCUCAUUAUCAAAAAGACUCGCUGCACUCUUUAAAACAGAAUGCCUCAAUUAAAUAUAGAAUAUACUGCUAUCAAGUAUGAAACAUACAUGAUGUGUUCAUAAAACGCAUUCAUAAAAAUCAUACUUCUGGUGGCAGGCGAAGACGCGCGUGUGCCGCAAAAAGUGAUUUCUGUACCACAGCGCUUCUUCGUUUCAGCUGAAUACUGGUGGAAUAUUGUUCUGCUUUUCCCUCCUCAGAUCGUCUCCAUCCGAGCAAACACAACUUUUUUAAAAAUUUUUUUUUUUUUUUUUUACGAUUCUGGGGUUGAGUACCAAGUGACGCGUUUCCGCCGAUUCCUACAAUACCUUCACAGAUCGCCAGAUAAUUCUCUUCCGAGUGUGUGGGACCUGCUCCUCUGCACGGUUUGCUGCUUCAGCUGAACACAAAUCCUACCUGGGGAGGAUCGAUUAAAUACAUGACUGUUUAUUAAGAAUGGAAUAGGCCUAACCUUUUUUUGAAUGAAAUUACAAUACCACUGUCAACAUCACCACCAUUUUCUCUUCCUGAUAUAUCUAUGAUGAGCUUUGUUUAUGUUUAACUCCGGUAAAAAAAAAAAAAAAUAGACGAAAGAAAAAUGCACACACGAGAAAUGUUAUCAUAUGCUCUGGUUUCCAGGCAAGGAAAGUCAUUAAAAAAAAGCUCAUUCACAGAACAAAAAAGAAAGAAAAUUCAUAUCACGGCAGAUACUGCUCAUCUUCUAAAUAGAAUGGGUGCCUGUGCAUGCUUUUCAAUUGAGCAUCUUGAGUGUGUGCAUGUGUGGUUGUGUGUGUGCGAGUGUGUACUGCGCCUAUGAGCAGGAAUGGACGCCAUUCUUCUGCAUUUCUGAACCAGUGGCGCCGGAAUCAGAGCACAAGCCCAUAGCAGACGUCUUAUUGGUCAGUGACAGCAUGGACCCGCCCACUGCACUUUCUUGGAGACUGUUGGAUCCGUUCGACACCUCGCUGAAUUGAAGACGGAGAAAAGAAACCAGUGUGAACUGUGGAUACUGAAGGAGCACAGGAAUAUGAACGGUUUUACAGUAGAGUACGUGU